GUUAGAACAAGGCCGCCAAGUGCCUACUCAUAUACUUGCUCCCGGAUCCCCCUCGCUGGAGAGGGGCUCACCCCCGCAGAGACGUCCAGGAGAACAGAUCCAUGCCAGCCCCUGGUUAGCCUGCGCCCUGGCGUCAAAGCAUCCAGCAGGAGAAAGCUCCUCAGAGGAGGAGAACAGAUCUCAGCGAUUUGAUUUCUAAGCACCAGGCCUCCAGGCAGCAGCAAAGGGCACAGCGUGGGGCUUGUGUGCAGGCAGGCACCCAGAGGAUUUGCCCCGGAAGGUGGUCCCUUUGCGAUGGUCCUGACAGCCAGCCGGUGGGAGCAUCCAGAAGACCCGGUUCCUUUCCAGUGAACAAUAAAGACGGGAAAGAAACAGGACGCUGGCCGUGUAGGGACCAGGUGGUCAAGGGAUGUUCAUUUUAAAACUUCAUCAAGGAACCUUAUGACAAAUGACCUUCCCCGGGUAAUGAAAAGGAGCUGAGCACCAGGGGCAGGAAAGUGUUAAUGAAUCUCUCCCCCAACCAAAAUAACAUGGAAUGAGAUAAAAAUCCUUGCGGCCCCCCUCUUGCCAGCAGCCCGACCAUCCUCCUCAGUGGCGGGGUUUUGGCUUCACUACGCAGCCUUAAUUUGAAUUGUGUAUGUGAAAUCGACUACCAAAAGGCAUCUGCAGAACAAUGCAUUUAAUUUGAUUCCA